rnacentral:lncRNA from 1 species
GUCAGUGACAUGUCUAGUCUCUUUAGCCAUAAGAGUUCAUUUUCAAUGCAAGACUUUAAUUAUUUUGAAAUAUUUGUCGGGUAGAAACAAGAAGAAGAAAAGAAGUUGAAAGGCGGAGAAGAGAAAAAGAGGAACGAGACAGAGACGGACACCAUCGAGAUCGUCAUCGAGACCGAGACAGGGAUCGAGAUAGAGACCGUGAUCGUGACCGAGACAGGGACCGCGAUAGAGACCGCGAUCGUGACCGAGAUCGUGAUCGUGACGCAAGAUCUAUCUCUCCAUCUGAAAAUGGAAGGACUAGACGGAGUCAUCGAAAUUCCCGCACUCCGGAUUCAAGUAGUUCUGCACGGAGCAUCUCACCAGAUGAUCGCCGCCACCGUUCUAAGUCUAUUAAGCGCUCGCGCUCGAAAUCACGUGACCGAGAACGAGAUCGUGAUAGAGAGCGUGAACGAGAAAAAGAACGAGAAAGAGAGCGUGAACGUGAGCGAGAACGCGAACGCGAGAAAGAACGAGAGCGGGAGAAAGAGCGCGAAAAAGAGCGGGAUCGCGAGAGAGAGCGCGAGCGAGAAAGAGAGCGCGAGCGAGAACGUGAAAGAGAAAGAGAGAGGGAACGGGACCGUGACCGAGAGCGAGAGAGGGAGAGGGAUCGAGACCGUGAUAGAGAAGAUCGUGAAAGAAAAUCGGAGCGUGAUAUUCUCAGGGAGAAGGAAAUGGAUGAAGAGGCAAAGGAAAAGAAGAAACUGGAACGGAAAGCUCGUGAAAAGGAAGCUGCCUACCAAGAAAGACUGCGUAUGUGGGAAAAUAGAGAAGGCAUAA